AGUGGCGGACGGGUGAGUAACGCGUGAGAAUCUGCCUUGGGGUCGGGGACAACCACUGGAAACGGUGGCUAAUACCGGAUAAGCCGAUUGGUGAAAGAUUUAUUGCCCGAAGAGGAGCUCGCGUCUGAUUAGCUAGUUGGUGAGGUAAGAGCUCACCAAGGCAGCGAUCAGUAGCUGGUCUGAGAGGACGAUCAGCCACACUGGGACUGAGACACGGCCCAGACUCCUACGGGAGGCAGCAGUGGGGAAUUUUCUGCAAUGGGCGAAAGCCUGACGGAGCAAGACCGCGUGAGGGAGGAAGGCUCUUGGGUUGUAAACCUCUUUUCUCAGGGAAGAAGCUCUGACGGUACCUGAGGAAUCAGCCUCGGCUAACUCCGUGCCAGCAGCCGCGGUAAUACGGAGGAGGCAAGCGUUAUCCGGAAUUAUUGGGCGUAAAGCGUCCGCAGGUGGCGAUUCAAGUCUGCUGUCAAAGCACGGGGCUUAACUCCGUAAAGGCAGUGGAAACUGAAUAGCUAGAGUGCCGUAGGGGUAGAGGGAAUUCCCGGUGUAGCGGUGAAAUGCGUAGAGAUCGGGAAGAACAUCGGUGGCGAAAGCGCUCUACUGGACGGCAACUGACACUCAGGGACGAAAGCUAGGGGAGCGAAUGGGAUUAGAUACCCC
rnacentral:rRNA from 1 species